UGGGGUAUGGUGUAACGGUAGCACGACUGACUCUGACUCAGUUAGUCUAGGUUCAAAUCCUAGUACCCCAA
rnacentral:tRNA from 2 species